GGAGCUUGCUCCACCGGAAAAAGAAGAGUGGCGAACGGGUGAGUAACACGUGGGUAACCUGCCCAUCAGAAGGGGAUAACACUUGGAAACAGGUGCUAAUACCGUAUAACAAUCAAAACCGCAUGGUUUUGAUUUGAAAGGCGCUUUCGGGUGUCGCUGAUGGAUGGACCCGCGGUGCAUUAGCUAGUUGGUGAGGUAACGGCUCACCAAGGCCACGAUGCAUAGCCGACCUGAGAGGGUGAUCGGCCACAUUGGGACUGAGACACGGCCCAAACUCCUACGGGAGGCAGCAGUAGGGAAUCUUCGGCAAUGGACGAAAGUCUGACCGAGCAACGCCGCGUGAGUGAAGAAGGUUUUCGGAUCGUAAAACUCUGUUGUUAGAGAAGAACAAGGAUGAGAGUAACUGUUCAUCCCUUGACGGUAUCUAACCAGAAAGCCACGGCUAACUACGUGCCAGCAGCCGCGGUAAUACGUAGGUGGCAAGCGUUGUCCGGAUUUAUUGGGCGUAAAGCGAGCGCAGGCGGUUUCUUAAGUCUGAUGUGAAAGCCCCCGGCUCAACCGGGGAGGGUCAUUGGAAACUGGGAGACUUGAGUGCAGAAGAGGAGAGGGGAAUUCCUGGGAAAC
rnacentral:rRNA from 1 species